AUCGUUAGGAAGAUCUUGCGGCUUUAUUCUGACGUCUUUAGGAUAUUCCUCCUUUUCGUUUAAUUCAGGUUCAACCUCCUUCAUCGCUUCUAUUAGGUCUGCUGUCGUCUUGUAUGAAGAUAUCGUGUGUUUGACAAAAUCUCUAGAAAAAAAUGUGUGGCUUAAAUUUUUGUAAAAAACCUGUUGUCUUUAUUGUCAUGUUGUGACAAUUACAUUCCAAGUCUCCACGAAUGUACAUUUAUAUGACAUUUAUGUAUUUCUGGAACUAAUGUGGCAAUCAUUCUUUUGCAUUUCAAUAUAUUACUAGAGGACCCGCAAUAGUCGAAAUUCGACUAUAAUAAAUUGGAAUUAGGAAUGGGAGGAUAUUUAUCAAAAUCGUAUAAGAAACUUGGUGUACCUACAGCAUGCCAAGCCACGUAAACGCAGUAAUGGAAGCACGAGGAAGUAAUGCAAAGUAUUAAAAUUCAAGAAAAUCAUAAUUGUUGUACAAAAAUGUCAUGUUUUCUAUUUUUGUUUUUUAAGUAGGUGAGAUCAGCAGUUUUUUUUUCUCUUUAUGUAAUUUUUAAUAAAUAAAAUGUAAUGACUUAUAA